rnacentral:lncRNA from 1 species
UCAGCUCAAUAUAGAUCUCAAUAUAGGUUGAAUAUAUAUAUGUUACAAAUUUCUACUUAUUUGGAUUUUUGACCAACCCAAAUAUAAAGAGAUCUAUAUUUGGUGCUUUUUAAUUAUUAGAUUAAGAUUCUUUUCUCUUUUUUUUUUGUAAUUUUCAUCCAGUAGUAACGCUAAUUAUCUAACUUAAUUGUUCACAAACCAACUCGUGUGUUUGGCUUGUAAAUAAGUAAGUUAAAUAAGAGCUAGAUUGUUCAGCUCAAUAUUUUAAUAGACCAAUUUGUGUUUGGCUUGAUUAAUAAACAAGCGAAUAAGCUGAUCUCAGCUCACUCGUGUUCAGCUCAUUGAUUGCCCUAUUCACA